rnacentral:lncRNA from 1 species
GUGUGUAUAACUUCAGAUUAUACAUUUCGGUACUCCAAUUUGAAAAGUUAAGCACUUGCCAAUUAUAUGCGAUGUUUCAAGCAGAAGUGAGAUGAGAGACAAAGAGAAAGUUUGAUAUAAUUAUUACUCCUAAGUUCAUAAUUUUUUUAUCAAUACCUUAAAUUUGAUGUGAAGCUUGUAUUAUUAUUGUCAGAUCUAAAUUAAAUCAAAGACUUCAACACGGGAUGUUGCCUCUUUCACCUUAUUGUCAUUCUUAACGAUCUGUCGUGAGUAAAUCAUAGUGCAGAUGCGUCUUAUAUUUUGUUUGGGCCUGUAGGUGUGUGCUUCCUUGAUUUUCCAUUUCUUAUACGUUGUCGUCGUUUUGUUGCUUAAUUUUUAAGUUUGGAUUUUGUCUUCAACCCGCAGGUCCAGUUACGUGUGAGCAAGAACACAAUAGGUGGAAAGGUUUUCCUUCGAUCUUCAACUCCCAGCCACUCUAAUAUUUCCAUGUGGAAUGUUCAGCAAAAUGCCUUACAAACGAAUACCCUAGAGAAAUUGUUGUUGUUGUGUUUUGACUUUUGAGUGAUACCUCUAGCUGUGAUAGAAAUGUAUUUAGAAUACAUUGACUGUCAUAAAUGUAUUUAGAAUACAUUGAAGUGCAAAUCCAUGUCAUGGUCAUGAUAUGGGAGGAGAAAUUGGGCAAAUAUCCCAUAUGAGCUUUAUCUUGUACACAUCUUUUUUUCUAUGCCCUUGAUAGUAGGUUGUCUCUG